ACGGCUGACUGCGUGCCUUUUGCAUUAUGAUCCGGCGAGUUACUCCUCAGAUGCGAGGCUAAGCUGCUCAGCAGCGGAGCCAUAGCGAAAGCGAGUCCUGUAACGAGGGCGCAUGAGUAUCUGGGGGUACGACCCGAAACCAGGGCGAUCUACCCAUGAGCAGGGUGAAGCUGAGGUAACACUUAGUGGAGGCCCGAACCC
rnacentral:rRNA from 14 species